ensembl:lncRNA
GUUUUAUAGACACUCCAUCACCAUUUCACUCCACCAUCCACCACAGCUUACUGGGAGAGAAGAGAAACAUGGCCGAAGCCAUGCUGUUGCUUUGAGAAAAGCAAAAAAACCCCCAGAAAAACCCUUAAAGAUAUGAAAUGCAUCACCAGGAUAAGCACUGGCAGUGCUUAUCCAAUAAGGAGUAUUUUAUUACUGAUGAAGGAAUGAAGCUGGACAUGGAAUUAGCGAUGUUGCUCUUGGACAGGUCUGUAAGCACAGUCUGUAAACUGUUUCAGUGGCCUGCUUUACAUAAUGAAUCCAGUAGGUACAUUUUUAUCACUUAAAGUGUCAGCUAAGGUUUUGAAAACAGUUUCCACCACAGAGAAAACAAAUAAAAAAGAUGGUAAGAAAACCAUAGUGGUAGUACUUCACCACACCUUCAGCACUGACUACAUUCCACCAAGCAGCAGUCGGUAUGAAAGGAAAGAUUUGAAGAUGGUGGACAUGUUGUUCCAUGAGGACUCGGGACUGCUGAACUGUUCAAAGAAUAAUGAAGCAAUCAGCACGGCAGGAAAUUGGCUAAAGAUAUGCAGCAAAUAUCAGCGUGGUGUAUGUCGCGAGCGUGUCUGGGCUGUGGCUGUGGCUGCAGUUGCAGGAUAUAUUGGAUAUAGGUUUUUGUACAGAAAAUGGACGGGACACUGGCUCUUGCAAUCAGAGAUCCGGUUUAUCAAUUUUGUGAUCAGGAUGAGGACCAAAACAAAUGUGUACAUUUUAAUUAAUUAACAUUUAAUAAUACAGUGAACAAAACAAGGAUUUUUUUUUUUAAAUUAUUAUCUCGAAGCAAUAGCUUAUUCCAAGUAUGAAUAUACCAAGUGUGACUAGUUUGUUUGAGUGUUUUCAUAAAGUUGAACAAAAAAAACAACCAUUAUAUUUGUUUGUAUUUGUGCUUGGAGUUUGUGUUUACAGACAGUAUUGACAGGAUAGUUUGGAUACAGGAUAGGAUAGAUACAGCGUUUUUUCCAUACAAUGGAUAAUGCAUAAUACAUGAUAGAUAAUGCAUCUCACGACAAUAAUGGGUUUUCCAAUUUCCUCCUCCCCCACAAAAACAGACCAGUAGACGGACAGGUUAAGAGUAAUUGCCCCUAAAUUUAAACACUGUAAAAUUGUAUAAAUUUAACAGUCAAAUACUAGAUAGAAACCAUGACCAUGUGAGUUAAUAUUUGACUACCAGUUAGAUUUAGAGUUAGUUACUGUACGUACAAAAAAAAAAAAAAACCUAGGUCAUAUCUGUAGGCAUUAGGGGCUUGCAUGCUCUACUACUUAUACACUUGAUAAUCUGUGGUUCCUGUUUAUCUGCAUAUUGGUGCAUUUCCCUGUACUCCAGAUCUCUGUUAUUUAUGUCCUGUAUUACUGCUUUGCUGAGUAAUAAAUAAUUUGCUAAGUCAUGAGUAUGUGGGUUUUCACUUAGUAAGAAAUAGUGAAGAAAAUGUGACUUCUCUCCAAGCCACUAGGUGUCAGCAUUUUGUUUAACAAGCCUUAAAGGACUACCC